UACGUAGGGUGCAAGCAUUAAUCGGAUUUAUUGGGCGUAAAGGGCGCGUAGGCGGGAAAGUCAGUCAGAUGUGAAAUCCCGGAGCUCAACUCCGGAACAGCAUUUGAAACUUCUUUUCUAGAGGGUAGGCGGAGAAAACGGAAUUCCACAAGUAGCGGUGAAAUGCGUAGAUAUGUGGAAGAACACCAGUGGCGAAGGCGGUUUUCUAGCUUACACCUGACGCUGAGGCGCGAAAGCAAGGGGAGCAAAC
rnacentral:rRNA from 1 species